AUACAUGCAAGUCGAGCGGACAGAUGGGAGCUUGCUCCCUGAUGUUAGCGGCGGACGGGUGAGUAACACGUGGGUAACCUGCCUGUAAGACUGGGAUAACUCCGGGAAACCGGGGCUAAUACCGGAUGGUUGUUUGAACCGCAUGGUUCAAACAUAAAAGGUGGCUUCGGCUACCACUUACAGAUGGACCCGCGGCGCAUUAGCUAGUUGGUGAGGUAACGGCUCACCAAGGCAACGAUGCGUAGCCGACCUGAGAGGGUGAUCGGCCACACUGGGACUGAGACACGGCCCAGACUCCUACGGGAGGCAGCAGUAGGGAAUCUUCCGCAAUGGACGAAAGUCUGACGGAGCAACGCCGCGUGAGUGAUGAAGGUUUUCGGAUCGUAAAGCUCUGUUGUUAGGGAAGAACAAAAACCGUUCGAAUAGGGCGGUACCUUGUCGGUACCUAACCAGAAAGCCACGGCUAACUACGUGCCAGCAGGCGGUCUAAUACGUAUGUGGGAAGCCUUGUCCGGAAUUAUUGGGCGUAAAGGGCUCGCAGGCCGUUUCUUAAGUCUGAUGUGAAAGCCCCCGGCUCAACCGGGGAGGGUCAUUGGAAACUGGGGAACUUGAGUGCAGAAAAGGAGAGUGGAAUUCCACGUGUAGCGGUGAAAUGCGUA
rnacentral:rRNA from 1 species